GAAGUACUCCCUCCGUCCCAUAAUUCUUGUCUUAUAUUUGUCUAAAGAUGAAUGUAUCUAGUCACAUUUUAGUAUUUAGAUACAUAUAUUUUUAGACAAAUCUAAGACAAGANUUUUGGGACGGAGGGAGUAAUAA
rfam:Hordeum vulgare subsp. vulgare, WGS project CAJW01000000 data, contig: morex_contig_53529